rnacentral:rRNA from 1 species
UGUGGCCUUGAGCCGUGGCUUUCGGAGCUAACGCGUUAAGUAGACCGCCUGGGGAGUACGGUCGCAAGAUUAAAACUCAAAUGAAUUGACGGGGGCCCGCACAAGCGGUGGAGCAUGUGGUUUAAUUCGAUGCAACGCGAAGAACCUUACCUACUCUUGACAUCCAGAGAACUUAGCAGAGAUGCUUUGGUGCCUUCGGGAACUCUGAGACAGGUGCUGCAUGGCUGUCGUCAGCUCGUGUUGUGAAAUGUUGGGUUAAGUCCCGCAACGAGCGCAACCCUUAUCCUUGUUUGCCAGCGAGUAAUGUCGGGAACUCCAGGGAGACUGCCGGUGAUAAACCGGAGGAAGGUGGGGACGACGUCAAGUCAUCAUGGCCCUUACGAGUAGGGCUACACACGUGCUACAAUGGCGCAUACAGAGGGCGGCCAACUUGCGAAAGUGAGCGAAUCCCAAAAAGUGCGUCGUAGUCCGGAUUGGAGUCUGCAACUCGACUCCAUGAAGUCGGAAUCGCUAGUAAUCGUGAAUCAGAAUGUCACGGUGAAUACGUUCCCGGGCCUUGUACACACCGCCCGUCACACCAUGGGAGUGGGCUGCAAAAGAAGCAGGUAGUUUAACCUUCGGGAGGACGCUUGCCACUUUGUGGUUCAUGACUGGGGUGAAUCU